UUUACCCCAGGUACCAUCCUCAAAAUGAGGAGAAGUGCCUGGUGGGUUUCCCCGGGAAUU
rnacentral:snoRNA from 1 species